rnacentral:rRNA from 1 species
UAGAGUUUGAUCCUGGCUCAGGAUGAACGCUAGCGGCAGGCUUAACACAUGCAAGUCGAGGGGCAGCAGGGAGCGGCAACGCUCCGCUGGCGACCGGCGCACGGGUGCGUAACGCGUAUGCAACCUACCUUCAACCGGGGGAUAACUCGGGGAAACCCGAACUAAUACCCCAUAUUCCCGUCCCCCCGCAUGAGGGGGCGGGGAAAGAGCUUUGGUUUUAGAUGGGCAUGCGUGGCAUUAGGUAGUUGGCGGGGCAACGGCCCACCAAGCCUACGAUGCCUAGGGGAGCUGAGAGGCUUACCCCCCACACUGGUACUGAGACACGGACCAGACUCCUACGGGAGGCAGCAGUGAGGAAUAUUGGUCAAUGGGCGGAAGCCUGAACCAGCCAUGCCGCGUGGAGGACGGAGGCCCUAUGGGUCGUAAACUCCUUUUGCCGCAGGGUAAUAAGGGUCCUGGGGGGCCCCGAGGGGAGUAUGGGGCGAAUUAAGCAUUGGGCUAAUUCCGUCCCAGCAGCCGGGGGUAAUCGGGAGGAUGGGAGCCGUUAUCCGGAUUUAAUUGGGUUUAAAGGGGGGGAGGGCGGCCCUUUAAGUCAGCGGUGAAAUACCCCGGCCCCACCCGGGGGGGUUGCCGUUGAUUACUGUGGGCCUGGGAGUCCGGAACGGCGCCGGCGGAAUAUGCAAUGUAGCGGUGAAAUGUUUAGAUAGGACGAAGAAACUCCGAUUGCGAAGGCAGCUGACUGUAGCGUAACUGACGCUGAAGCUCGAAAGUGCGGGGUAUCGAACAGGAUUAGAUACCCUGGUAGUCCGCACGGUAAACGAUGGAUGCUCGCUGUUAGCCCUUGGGUUAGUGGCCAAGCGAAAGCAUUAAGCAUCCCACCUGGGGAGUACGCCGGCAACGGUGAAACUCAAAGGAAUUGACGGGGGCCCGCACAAGCGGAGGAACAUGUGGUUUAAUUCGAUGAUACGCGAGGAACCUUACCCGGGCUUGAACUGCAGGGGAACGACCCAGAGAUGGGAAGGUCAGCAAUGACCCCUGUGGAGGUGCUGCAUGGUUGUCGUCAGCUCGUGCCGUGAGGUGUCGGCUUAAGUGCCAUAACGAGCGCAACCCCUGUCGUUAGUUGCCAUCAGGUUAAGCUGGGCACUCUGGCGAUACUGCCACCGUAAGGUGUGAGGAAGGUGGGGAUGACGUCAAAUCAGCACGGCCCUUACGUCCGGGGCUACACACGUGUUACAAUGGCGUGUACAGAGAGAAGGUUGUGGGCAAUCACAAUCAAAUCCUUAAAACACGUCUCAGUUCGGACUGGGGUCUGCAACCCGACCCCACGAAGCUGGAUUCGCUAGUAAUCGCGCAUCAGCCAUGGCGCGGUGAAUACGUUCCCGGGCCUUGCACACACCGCCCGUCA